ACGGAGGGUGCAAGCGUUAUUCGGAAUUACUGGGCGUAAAGCGCGUGUAGGCGGUCCUGCAAGUCUGAUGUGAAAGCCCCGGGCUUAACCCGGGAAGUGCAUUGGAAACUGUGGGACUUGAGUACUGGAGAGGAUGGGGGAAUUCCCGGUGUAGAGGUGAAAUUCGUAGAAGUCGGGAGGAAUAUCAGUGGCGAAGGGGCCCAUCUGGACCGUAAUUUACGGUGGGACGCGGAAGCGUGGGGAGCAAACAG
rnacentral:rRNA from 1 species